rnacentral:sRNA from 1 species
GGAUUCAGGGGUGUUCUAUUAGGUCUGUAUUCCCAGAUGUUGCACUGCUUAAUUUGGCCAGAGAGCCCCAUCAUCUACUAAUUCUCCAUAUGUUUCCCUCCCAAAGCUGAGAACUUGGUCAAAGUUGAUGACCUCCUCUUUUUGGAGGAGAACUAUAUAUAUAUAUAUAUAGUUUAUAAUAUAAAGUGCAGUUUUAUUUCCCUUUUAGAGCCUCCACACUAACAGCUAAAUGCCACUUGUAGAAGUUCACUUACUAGACAAAUUAGAGCCAAGAACCUU